UUUGAAUAGUUACUGUUUGUUUCUUUUGUUGCAUGACUUCUUUUUAAGAACAAUUAUUAGUAUACUCUGUAUUGUUCAGUAUUGUUAUGACUGUCAUUUGUUUGCAGGCUUGAUUGCUGGUAUUGUGUGUGGCGUAAUAGUGGUGGCUGCUAUAAUUUUAGUAAUACUUUUUCGAAGGAAAAUCUUCAACAUUCAAGCUUCUGCAGCGGAAGAAACAGAGCGAAAGACAACUGUUGUUCAAAACAUUGAGAGAAAUGAUGGAAAUCACCAACCUGAAGAGAUGGAGAUACAGAACAAGCAAUCAAACACAGCCUUUCCUCUUUAUUCUACAGUAAACCCACCAGCAGAACAGCUGCAUUAUGCCAGCGUCAAUAUCCAUAACAACACUUCCACUGAAAAUACAAUUGGAUCAUCCACAUCAAAUGAGAGUGUUAAAGGUGCAGCACAAACUCCAGCGGACACAACUCUGUACUCUACCAUUGCGAAGCUUGGAGAAUAGUGCAGUCAAGUUGCAGGGCUCCCCCAAGCAUAAGUAAAAGGUGUAUGAAGAAGUCUUUACUUGUCAUUGUUCCUCAAGGGUACAACAAAAAUUUUAGCAGCUCAAAACAAAAUAAAACAAUAUAAAACAAAACAACGAAGGCAAAUAGUGUAAUAAAAAGAAAAUAAAUAUUUUUAAAAAGUUGUAAAAGAUGUGUGUGUAUAGAUAGAAGAAAAAUAUGUACACACAAGUAUAUUUACACAGAGAUUGCAGUAUUGCACAAGAGAAUUUUGCACUUAUAUUAUAAACAGUGCUUUUUUAGGAUAAAUAUACAUUUGAUCAUGUGUUAAUCAUUACUAACACAAAUUAUAAAAAGAUUUUUUUGGCAUUGGGGGCCAGCUUAAUGCACAAACAAGAAAGAGAAGUUUAAACUCAUCAGAGACAUGAUAGUAUCUCUGAUGAGUUGAUAGUGAUAGCCUUAUACUGUCUACAGAGACAGAAAACCUUCCAGGACUCCCUGAAGCACAGAGGAACCAAUUUGAACAGAUGUUUUAAACUGUAAAAAAAAAUAAAUAAAAAAAUUAUGAGUUUUACAUAAGUCUUUGGAUAGCUCUUCCCAUAGCCUGCAUUCCUCCUGUGCCUGUUGCAUCUUCAAAGUGCAGCUUGUCCAAGGCUUAUAUUAAUACGUGUUUUGAGUUCUUCAGAAGAAAGACUGAGAGGACCGGCAAUAGUUUGCCAUAAGAUUUGUCAUCAUUUUUAUCAAAAAACCAAUAAGAGUGAGAGGAGAGACAUAAUGAGGUUUAAUGUGUUGGGAAAGAGGAUUUAUUUCUUUCUAGCUUUGACAUGUAACAUUAUUUAGUUUUAAGGACUAAUUAUUCAGUAAUUCAUUUAAAAUUUUGUCUCCUUUGCCUUUUUGCCUGUUUCAGGUACUUUUAUACUAUCAGCAUUGUAGUAUGCGUUUCAAAUUCUAUUGUUCAUUGUAUGUUAAGGUUUUGGUAAAAUAUAUAUUUUCAUUUAUCUAAGCUAUUUUGGUUUUGUUUGGCUUUUGCACAUAGCUGUUGCAUUUUUUAGCACCAAAAACUAUGAACUUAAUGGCAACUUUGUUCUAAACAGAUUGCAUACUACUUCAUUUUACUAUACUCUAUAGCAGGGGUAUUCAGUUAAACUCACUGAGGUCCAGUUAUAAUUUUGCAAAUAACAGAUAGAAAUGUAACUAUCUUUUGUCUUUUAUACUCGUGCCAACUCAUUUGUUCGAGUUUUUAUCAGUUUACUAAACUAUAAUGUAGGUUAAAAUGUAUUUUCUGGAACUUGUCAACAAAUAUGGUUUACCUAAAUCCCAUUUUUUUUUUUUAUAUUUACAAACCAGAAACUUUAUUCAGUCUCACUUGUCAGGCUCAAUCUCUCUGCCAGAGCAUACACUGUUGGAAGCCAUCCUAUUAUUAAACCCAACUCGUAAAGGGCUGGUUUCAUGGCUUUAUAAUAAAAUGUUUACUAUAAAAGAGACCUCCACACUUAAACUUAAAGCCUCAUGGUACGAGGACUUGAAUAUGACCAUACCGCGUCAGACAUGGGACUCUAUACUUAAACUGGUGAAUACAUCAUCUCUGUGUGCGCGCCAUUGCCUCGUUCAGUUAAAAUAGUACAUAGAGCCCACCUCUCCAAAGACAAACUAUGCCGUUUCUAUCACCCCUUACUGCGAUAAAUGCAAGACUGCCAUAGCCACACUGGUCCAUAUGUACUGGUCCUGCCCCGCUCUUGGUCAUUUCUCAACAGAUGUUUUCCGUACAAUGUCCUAGUUGGCGCGAGUGGUGAUAACACCUGGCCUUCUCCUGGCUCUGUUUGGUUUUAGUGGUGAGGGGUCACCUUUACCAGCCUCUAAACAAUAGGCACUGGCAUUCUGCUCACUGUUAGCGAGACGCACAGUUCGGAUCAGGUGGAAGGGCACAGCUCCUCCAACUCGCAAGCAGUGGUUAUGUGACCUCAUGUCAUGUCUGAAACUGCAAAAAAUGAGGUAUUCUAUUCAACAUUCAACUGGUAAAUUGGUAAAUGUUCCGCAAUAAAAGGGUUUAUUAGAUUUAAUAAAAUGUGUUCUGUCUCAGUCAGGGAUAGGAAAGUAGUGCGUUGACCUCUUGAUAGUGACCUAGGUGGGCUAAAUGUGAUUUUUUUUUUCUUUUUUUUUGUAGGGAUUGUUUUUUCUGUAUAUUAUAUUAUAUCUAUAUUUGCUGGAUAAAUAUAUUUUUUGUA